rnacentral:rRNA from 1 species
GAUUAGAGUUUGAUCAUGGCUCAGAUUGAACGCUGGCGGCAUGCCUAACACAUGCAAGUCGAACGGCAGCAUGGAGGAGCUUGCUCCGCUGACGAGUGGCGAACGGGUGAGUAAUGCAUCGGAACGUGCCGUGUAGUGGGGGAUAACGUAGCGAAAGUUACGCUAAUACCGCAUACGCCCUGAGGGGGAAAGUGGGGGACCGCAAGGCCUCACGCUAUACGAGCGGCCGAUGUCGGAUUAGCUAGUUGGUAGGGUAAAGGCCUACCAAGGCGACGAUCCGUAGCGGGUCUGAGAGGAUGAUCCACCACACUGGGACUGAGACACGGCCCAGACUCCUACGGGAGGCAGCAGUGGGGAAUUUUGGACAAUGGGCGCAAGCCUGAUCCAGCCAUGCCGCGUGAGUGAAGAAGGCCUUCGGGUUGUAAAGCUCUUUCAGACGGAAAGAAAUCGGUGUGUCUAAUACACGCACUGGAUGACGGUACCGUAAGAAGA